CAUGCCCCACAAAUCUAAGAUUUAUGCUUUAUUGUUAUUAUUUUUCAAACUGUAUGUUUCACCUUUACAAGCGAGAUCACUAUCAGGAGGGAGACACGAGCAAACGUCUUCACCUCCAAGAAAGAGCGGCGUGAAGCAAAACUAUCCCGAACCAGCGUUAGCUAACUUAACGUCAAUCCCGCACAAGCUAGCAAGCUACACAGACGAACUUAUGUUGAAGUUUUACCACAAAAAAACAGGAUACCGCCCACUGAACCAGAGCCACCUGGUCCUCACCUGGGGAAGGAAGACCAGAAGCAGGUGAAACGGAGCCAAUGCAGUUUUAAAGUCAGUCGAUUAAACGUGUGGACGGAGGUGCAAGGAGUUGGAGAGAGAAAGAAGGAGAAAGAGACUGAGAGGGGCCUAAUGUUUAUCACAGCAGGGAGUUGAAUUCCAGAUGGGGAGAUAAUGAAAAAAACAAGCAAACAAUUAUACAAAAAUAGACAAAGUGGGGAAAAAAGAGAGAGCAGACUGACAGACGACAGGAAUGAUAUUUGGGGCAAACUGGACAAGUUUUUAUUUGUACUCCCAAAAGGCCAGAUUUAGACAGGUCUGCGUAGAAUAAGAGUAGAGUUUUGUAUUGUGUUGAUACAAAAGUAAG